GACGAACGCUGGCGGCGUGCUUAACACAUGCAAGUCGAGCGGGUAAGGCCCUUUCGGGGGUACACGAGCGGCGAACGGGUGAGUAACACGUGGGUGACCUGCCCUCAGCUCUGGGGAUAAGCCUGGGAAACCGGGUCUAAUACCGGAUAUGACUCCAUGACGCAUGUUGUGGGGUGGAAAGCCUUGUGCGGCUGAGGAUGGGCCCGCGGCCUAUCAGCUUGUUGGUGGGGUGAUGGGCCACCAAGGCGACGACGGGUAGCCGGCCUGAGAGGGCGACCGGCCACACUGGGACUGAGACACGGCCCAGACUCCUACGGGAGGCAGCAGUGGGGAAUCUUGCGCAAAUGGGCGAAAGCCUGACGCAGCGACGCCGCGUGAGGGAUGACGGCU
rnacentral:rRNA from 1 species